AAUUUUAAUCCUUUUUUUUUAUUUAUAUUUAAUCGCCAAUUCGUACGUUUUAUAUUUUUUUUAUUUUAUAAUAAUAUAUAACCGUCCCGCGGGUAAUUUUUUUGGUUAUUUGCUUUUUAUUUAUACGUUUAUUUUCUGGUUCGAUUGCGCAUUUUGCGCAUUUUCGUCCCCGGGUAUUGUUUUUGGGGAUAAUCCCUAAACCGUUAUUUUGUUUUCGGGUUUUUUUUUAAUUAUACCGGCACCGAAACUGUUAAUUGUUUAUUUAUUACUUUUUUUGGUUUUCCUCGCUUUUUGGUUGUUCGAAUUUUAAAUAAUCGAAUUUUGGAUUUUUUAGCGUGUUUCUUUCGCCUGGGUUUUCCUAUUUUUUAAAACGGUUAUACGGUUUAACGUGCGUAUUUUGGAAAAUAAAAAGGCUAUUUAUUAUAUUAACCGUUACAAAAAUAUUUGUUACGUUUAAUAUUUUAUACGGUCCGGUCCAUUUAUAUUUUUCCCUAUAUACCAAAAUUUCGAAUUCCAAUUUUAUUAUUAUUGGCAUUUUUUUUACGUUCGGGCCGUUUUUUUAUUUUAAAUAUUUUAUUUAUUCUUUUCGGUUAUUAUUUUCCGUAAUUUUCUCAUUAUUUUAUUAAUAAUUUUUGCGCGUUAUAAUUAAUUUUUUAAAGGCGCUAAUUUCUCAAUAAUUCGUAAUAUGACCCCGAAUAUUAACAAAAUCGGUAUAAAGCCGUUUAAAUUUAUAAUAUUGUUUACCGUUUUUACCGCCGUUUGUAAUACCGCCGGCGGUAUUAUAUUUUUGCAUUUGAUUUUAAUAAUUUCGUACGUUUUCCGUAACGGUUUAUAAUAGCGUUUAAUCUUGCCCAAUAACCAAUAUUUUCUAAUCGGUGUUUGGUCUUACGUUAUACCGAAAAAAUAUAUUUUUAUUUUAAAAUUUAAAAUACCAAAAUUGGUAUUUAAAUUAUAAAUAACAACAUUUGGUAAUCCCAAAUAUAUAUUUAUUUAAUAUUUUUUGGCCAAUACAUUAUUUAAAAAACGCGUUAUUUGGAAUGCAAUGCUCGCGUCAAUUAUAUGUAAAACCGGUUUGGAAUUUAAAUAUAUAAUAUCGAUAAUAAUUUCGUAAUUAAAAUUUAUAUCGUUUUUUAGAAUAAAUUUAAAACGUUAUAAAACGUUUUUUUUAAUUUGGCAAUAAUGGUAAAAACGGUUUAUUAAUUCUAAUAUAUUCCGGUUUAUUUUAUAAUUUGUUUUUUAUAAUAUUUUCCAUAAAUAUUUUAUUAAUAGGUGGCCGAAUUUAUAAUGCACCGUUCGUAAGUUUUUUUCCAUUAAAUAAAUUAUUUUUAUAUUUGCGUUUUUUAUAAAAUACGUCGCGGUUUUUUUUGGUUCCGUUCCAGGUAAAUAAAAUUAUAAAUGUCCCCAUUUGCGUAAAAUUGGUAUUUUAAUAUUAUCGGUUUUUAUAAAUUCGUUGUUCGUAUUAUUUAAAUAUAUACCGAAUUUAUUUAAAUUUUAAAUGUAUAAUAAAAAUAAUAUAUUUAUUAAUAUUACGUGGAACGUAAUUUCGCCGAUUUGAGUAUUUAGCGUUAUUUUUCCCAUUACCGUAAUAUUUUUUUUAUUCCAAAACGCACCGUAAUUUUAUUUGGGUUUGUUUUAUUAAUACAAAUAUUCGGUUUUCGGCGUUGCAAUAUUUUAAUUUGCCUUAUUCCGGCCGUGGAAAUCAAAAUUGCUUUUAAAUUAAAAAUAAUCCCAUAUUAAAUUUUGUUUGCAUCCCGUUAAUGCAAAAUCUGGUAUAUAUUUUUUUCGUUUAUUCGUUUAUAAUAUAGAAUUUCUUUUAAAUUUAUUUUAAUUGGUACCGGGAUAAUUCGUCGAUUAAAAAUUCGGCCGUUUCGUAAUUUAUAAAAUAGGUAAAAAAAUAUCCAUUUUUAAAGAAAAAAUUUUAUUUUUUCCGCAUUUGUAAUAUUAUUAAAAUUAUUAUCCUGCUUUUUAACGUUUUUUUUAUUAUCGCUGGUUAUUACGAAUUGGUUGUUUCCGCGUUUGUUUUUUUUUCCUAACGAUUCCGGAUUUGUCGCUUGCGGAAACGUUGUUUUUUUUUCGGUAUAGUUAAAAAACCUAUAUCCUGGUUUCCCGUAUAUAUAAUAUUUUUUAUUUGUAAGAAUAUACCAUCCUUUAUUAUCGCUUUUUUUACGCGGGUAACGGUUUUUGUUACAAUUUCCUUUUCUUUUGAUAUAAUUCGUAUUUUCGGUUAAUAAAAAACGUAUAAUAAAUUGCGUAACGUUUUUCCAAUUUUAUUAUAAUUGUAAUUUGGUCCGAUAAUUUUGUAAAAAUAUUCGCUAAAUUUGCAACGACCGUUUUAAAUUUUCGGACGUUUUUAAUAAUUUUUAAAAUUACCGCAAUUGGGUAUUUUUUAUAUAUAAAUUUGGAUUUUAAUAUUUGUUGGUAUUUUUGUAAUUUUCUUGAUAUAAUUAUUAAAAUUUCGGAAUCCCGUUUAUUUU
rnacentral:sRNA from 1 species